rnacentral:rRNA from 2 species
GACCGGGGUUUUUUAGAGUUUGGAUUUCAGGCUCAGGACGAACGCUGGCGGCGUGCCUAAUACAUGCAAGUCGAGCGGACAGAUGGGAGCUUGCUCCCUGAUGUUAGCGGCGGACGGGUGAGUAACACGUGGGUAACCUGCCUGUAAGACUGGGAUAACUCCGGGAAACCGGGGCUAAUACCGGAUGCUUGUUUGAACCGCAUGGUUCAAACAUAAAAGGUGGCUUCGGCUACCACUUACAGAUGGACCCGCGGCGCAUUAGCUAGUUGGUGAGGUAAUGGCUCACCAAGGCAACGAUGCGUAGCCGACCUGAGAGGGUGAUCGGCCACACUGGGACUGAGACACGGCCCAGACUCCUACGGGAGGCAGCAGUAGGGAAUCUUCCGCAAUGGACGAAAGUCUGACGGAGCAACGCCGCGUGAGUGAUGAAGGUUUUCGGAUCGUAAAGCUCUGUUGUUAGGGAAGAACAAGUACCGUUCGAAUAGGGCGGUACCUUGACGGUACCUAACCAGAAAGCCACGGCUAACUACGUGCCAGCAGCCGCGGUAAUACGUAGGUGGCAAGCGUUGUCCGGAAUUAUUGGGCGUAAAGGGCUCGCAGGCGGUUUCUUAAGUCUGAUGUGAAAGCCCCCGGCUCAACCGGGGAGGGUCAUUGGAAACUGGGGAACUUGAGUGCAGAAGAGGAGAGUGGAAUUCCACGUGUAGCGGUGAAAUGCGUAGAGAUGUGGAGGAACACCAGUGGCGAAGGCGACUCUCUGGUCUGUAACUGACGCUGAGGAGCGAAAGCGUGGGGAGCGAACAGGAUUAGAUACCCUGGUAGUCCACGCCGUAAACGAUGAGUGCUAAGUGUUAGGGGGUUUCCGCCCCUUAGUGCUGCAGCUAACGCAUUAAGCACUCCGCCUUGGAGAACGUCACGUUUU